GACGAACGCUGGCGGCGUGCUUAACACAUGCAAGUCGAACGAAGUGGCGAACGGGUGAGUAACGCGUAAUCAACCUGCCCUUCAGAGGGGGACAACAGUUGGAACCGACUGCUAAUACCGCAUACUGAAGGAGGGGAUUGCGUCGUAUUAGCUAGUUGGAGGGGUAACGGCCCACCAAGGCGAUGAUCAGUAGCCGGGCUGAGAGGAUGGACGGCCACAUUGGGACGUGGACACGGCCCAGACUCCUACGGGAUGCAGCAGUGGGGAAUCUUCCGCAAUGGAGGAAAGUCUGACGGAGCAACGCCGCGUGAGUGAAGAAGGUUUUCGGAUCGUAAAGCUCUGUUGUUAAGGAAGCGGUACUUAACCAGAAAGGGACGGCUAACUACGUGCCAGCAGCCGCGGUAAUAC
rnacentral:rRNA from 1 species